AAUGAACGCUGGCGGCAGGCCCAACACAUGCAAGUCGAGCGGAUCCUUCGGGAUUAGUGGCGGACGGGUGAGUAACGCGUGGGAACAUACCCAAAGGUACGGAAUAGCCUCGGGAAACUGGGAGUAAUACCGUAUGUGCUCGAAAGAGGAAAGAUUUAUCGCCUUUGGAUUGGCCCGCGUUGGAUUAGGUAGUUGGUGGGGUAAUGGCCUACCAAGCCGACGAUCCGUAGCUGGUUUGAGAGGAUGAUCAGCCACACUGGGACUGAGACACGGCCCAGACUUCUACGGGAGGCAGCAGUGGGGAAUCUUAGACAAUGGGGGAAACCCUGAUCUAGCCAUGCCGCGUGAUCGAUGAAGGCCUUAGGGUUGUAAAGAUCUUUCAGGUGGGAAGAUAAUGACUGUACCACCAGAAGAAGCCCCGGCUAACUCCGUGCCAGCCGCCGCGGUAA
rnacentral:rRNA from 1 species